rnacentral:rRNA from 1 species
AACGAACGCUGGCGGCAUGCCUAACACAUGCAAGUCGAACGAGACCUUCGGGUCUGGUGGCGCACGGGUGCGUAACGCGUGGGAACCUGCCCUUAGGUUCGGAAUAACUCCCCGAAAGGGGUGCUAAUACCGGAUAAUGUCUUCGGACCAAAGAUUUAUCGCCUUUGGAUGGGCCCGCGUUGGAUUAGCUAGUUGGUAGGGUAAAAGCCUACCAAGGCGACGAUCCAUAGCUGGUCUGAGAGGAUGAUCAGCCACACUGGGACUGAGACACGGCCCAGACUCCUACGGGAAGCAGCAGUGGGGAAUAUUGGACAAUGGGCGAAAGACUGAUCCAGCAAUGCCGCGUGAGUGAUGAAGGCCUUAGGGUUGUAAAGCUCUUUUACCCGGGAUGAUAAUGACAGUACCGGGAGAAUAAGCUCCGGCUAACUUCGUG